rnacentral:rRNA from 1 species
UACGUAGGGUGCGAGCGUUGUCCGGAAUUAUUGGGCGUAAAGGGCUCGUAGGCGGUUUGUCGCGUCGGGAGUGAAAACACCGGUCUUAACUCGGUGCUUGCUUUCGAUACGGGCAGACUAGAGGCAUGCAGGGGAGAACGGAAUUCCUGGUGUAGCGGUGAAAUGCGCAGAUAUCAGGAGGAACACCGGUGGCGAAGGCGGUUCUCUGGGCAUGUCCUGACGCUGAGGAGCGAAAGUGUGGGGAGCGAACAGG